CACAACAAUAGACAUGGAGGCGAUGGUUCACCUGCUGCUCGGUCUGUGGCUUUCUGUCAGAUUCAAAGUAAUAGAAGAGUCGGAGAAAGCUGAGAGCGACGAGUCGAAACACUCAGGAGACACACAGGAGAGUUUGGGAGGCGAUACAGCAGCAUCAAGCUGAAGACAAGAGGAUAUGAACUAUGAUAUGAGGACCAAAGAACUACAGACUCUUCACAACCUGCUCAAACUCUUGGUACAGGACCUCACCACACGGGUCAAGAAGGCGCUUCCUUGGUAUCAACCCUGAGAGGGGAACAAAGGCCAGCCAGGAGAAGGUGAUGUCCAAGAGGUUGGGGAAGCUGCUCCAGAAGAAGGCAUCUACUGUAAAUCCCCAUGUAGCCACCCUUAUAAAAAGACUGAUGGACUCUGAGUGGGACUUCAUGUAAACCCACAGCACCUCUCCACACAGAACCUCACUUUGACAAAGGAAAAGCCCAGUCUGCAACCAGAUGUUCAUGCUGUCUUUCUAAGGUAACAAGUCUCAGUAUUGUGUUUGGUUCAGUAUAAAAUACUUCAGUCCACGUGUCUCAGUUUUGAAGUUCCAGGUUUGUUCCAUGAUGUGGUGUUUAUUGAACAUGAUCAUGAGUUAUGAAAGACUGAUUCUGAAGGCAGAGUACCUGAAAUGUGAUGUGCAAUUUUUAAACAGAUUGUUGACAACAUGUUAAACAUCAUUAUUUUUUUUGUAGAUUUUAUUUUGCAAGACUUGAAUUACUUGAAAUUUGUUAGCUGC
ensembl:lncRNA